CUCGCCCCGCCCCCUCCCGGCCCCGACCAGGGGACACUAGCUCCCGAACUGCAGCACCUGCGGGCCUCGGCAGCCCUCCGCCCUUGCCAGCUCCUCCAGCCUACCGGAUCUGGUUCCCGAGCGGUCCUCCGCCCUCACGACUCUGGGCGCGCCGUCUUACCCGAGGGCCCCAGCGCACCUGAGAACCUUGCUCACGACUCGUCUGGCGUCCGGCUCCCGACGUGAGGAGCAAGGGUUUCCGCCCAAGUAAGGGGACUCGAGGUGGGAUUUAAGCAGAGAAGUGGCUUUCAGAUUUGCGUUGCAAAAACCUGGUCCUGACUUCGACUGCGGGACGGGCGAGAGUCUAAGUGGAGGCAGACACAGCCCCCAAGCUAAUGCAUAGUGCAGGUCCUGCCAGACACUACUUAGAAGAAAAUUAGAUUGGGGCCGCAAACUGGGGACUCAUGCGACUGCAAGGCAACCUGAAGCUGUGAAGAAUGGACGUCAGCACAUUGGCCCUUCUCUGGAGUAGUCAGAGUCAAGGCUGAGAAACAACCACGCCCUCACUAUAGCUGUAUUUGUUUGCCUGGGGCUUAGCACUACUCUGCAGCACUUCUCAGCUUUAACCGCUGGACUUGGCUGUGCGUGGGCACACUUGCUCUUUAGUGAUUGAUUAAAAAUACACAUUCGUUCCA